rnacentral:sRNA from 1 species
GCUUGCUGCUGCGUGACAACGGAGGGCUAGGAAAAGGCGCAGUGGAGCCCGGAGCUGUCACCUCUGACUUCACGCAGCUUCCGUUCUCCUGGUGACGUGGCCUACAGGACCCGCCCCGGUGGUCAGCUGCCGCGCUGUUGCUAGGCAACAGCGUCCGAGCUCAGAUCAGCGUGGGGCGGAGGAGAAGUGGGAUUUGGAAGCUCAGGGGCACAGGGGCCCAGGGGCACAGGCCCACGACUGCAGUGGGAUGGACCAGUACUGCAUCCUGGGCCGCAUCGGGGAGGGCGCCCACGGCAUCGUCUUCAAGGCCAAGCACGUGGAGACUGGCGAGAUAGUUGCCCUCAAGAAGGUGGCCCUAAGGCGGUUGGAGGACGGCAUCCCUAACCAGGCCCUGCGGGAGAUUAAGGCUCUGCAGGAGAUGGAGGACAAUCAGUAUGUGGUGCAACUGAAGGCUGUGUUCCCACAUAGUGCAGGCUUUGUGCUGGCCUUUGAGUUCAUGCUGUCGGAUCUGGCCGAGGUGGUGCGCCAUGCCCAGAGGCCACUAGCCCAGGCACAGGUCAAGAGCUACCUGCAGAUGCUGCUCAAGGGCGUCUCCUUCUGCCAUGCCAACAACAUUGUACAUCGGGACCUGAAACCUGCCAACCUACUCAUCAGCGCCUCAGGCCAGCUCAAGAUAGCGGACUUUGGCCUGGCUCGAGUGUUUUCCCCAGACGGCAGCCGCCUCUACACACACCAGGUGGCCACCAGGUAGGGCGGGCCAGAUCCCUUCCAGUCCUCUCCAUGGGGAAGAGAUGCUUCUGGGCCUUUUCUCCAGACAUUGCUUGUGGAGCUGGGGUCACCUCCCCAGGCAUCCUUUUCUCAGCCCAGUGCCUACCAGCCCUCUUCCUUGCAGGUGGUACCGAGCCCCCGAGCUCCUGUAUGGUGCCCGCCAGUAUGACCAGGGCGUCGAUCUGUGGUGAGACCCCAGCGGGUGGUCAAAGGGUAACAUGGCUCAUGGAUUUCUGCUAGGCUCUGAGGUCUCUGAGCUGUUUGGUGGUGUUUUCCCUGGUGGGAGUUUAGGCUUCCUUGAGGGUGUCUUCCCCAGUUGGGGUAUUCUGAGCACUUUGGGGUUGGGGUUCCUCACUAUGAUGUUUUUGAGCUGAGUGGGGGCCAGGUGGGAUGAGAACAGUGGUCCCAGGUGGGAAGCUUUCUGGGCUAGGUGGGGAGGUGGUCUGAGCUGGUAUGUGCUGGAGUUAGAUCCCAGGAUAUGGCAUCUCUGAGCUGGUCAGAGGCCUGUGUCCUUGGACAUGAAAGCUCUGAGCUUGUUUUGCAGCAAGAAGAUAGUUGGCAGUGCCCAUGGGUCUGAGAUUUGGGGCAGGUUUGCAGGUCUGCCCCAGAAGCAUCCUGGAGCAGGAGUCUCUGAGAAGUCUUGGAACAGCUGGGGCUUUGCUCUGGGUUCUAGGGUUGAGGGCUCUGAGGGUUCAGGGACUGGGCCUCUGGACGUGAGGCUCCAGGGCUGGCUUGUGGGGCCUUGCCCUGGAGUGCAGUGUUAGAGCUGCUUUGUGGGUGGGUCUGUGGUCCAUGGUGGGAGAUCUCUGACCUGCUUGGGGCUCUGUGUCCACAGGGCCGUGGGCUGCAUCAUGGGGGAGCUGUUGAAUGGGUCCCCCCUUUUCCCGGGCAAGAACGACAUUGAACAGCUUUGCUAUGUGCUUCGCAUCUUGGGCACCCCAAACCCUCAAGUCUGGCCGGUUUGUAGGGGCCCUUGGUGAGGUGGGUGUGGGGCAGGUUUACUCCACUCCCAACAGCAAGUAACCACUCCCUCCCCUGAACCUUCUCUCUCCUGGCCCCAACCCCCCUUGAUGGACAGGGACCACUGUCCUGGCCCAACUCGGGGGUUCCUCCUUCCUGAUGUCAUUUGGGUUAGGGUAGGUCCUGUCCUUUGUCCCUUUUCACCCCAGUACACACAUGUGCAGUGUCUCAGCAAGCUGUGCACAGAGUCGUCAUCUGAGAGGGCAAGGGGAUGGAUGAAGGAAUACAGGGGUGGGUGAGUGAAUGAAUGAUGGGUCAGGGAGACACAUGGAUGGGAGAGCACCCCCCGUGUGAGUGUGUGUUAGGGGCUGAGAGCUGACAGCAGAGAGCAUGGCAAGGGUCGGGGACUACUCUCAUUGUACCCUGUUCCUUCUCCCUGGCCCAGGAGCUCACUGAGCUGCCGGACUACAACAAGAUCUCCUUUAAGGAGCAGGCGCCCGUGCCCCUGGAGGAGGUGCUGCCCGACGCCUCUCCCCAGGCAUUGGAUCUGCUGGGUCAAUUCCUCCUCUACCCUCCUCGCCAGCGCAUCGCAGCUUCCAAGGCUCUCCUCCAUCAGUACUUCUUCACAGCUCCCCUGCCUGCCCAUCCAUCUGAGCUGCCGAUUCCUCAGCGUCUAGGGGUACCUGCCCCCAAGGCCCAUCCAGGGCCCCCCCGCAUCCAUGACUUCUAUGUGGACCGGCCUCUUGAGGAGUCGCUGUUGAACCCAGAGCUGAUUCGGCCCUUCAUCCUGGAGGGGUGAGAAGUUGGCCCUGGUCCUGUCUGCCUGCUCCUCAGGACCACUCAGUCCACCUGUUCCUCUGCCGCCUGCCUAGCUUCACCCUCCAAGGCCUCCCCAUGGCCACACUGGGCCCACACCACACUCCGCCCCUUAGCCCUUGCAAUGGUUGGUCUCGAGGCAGAGGUCAUGUUCCCAGCCAAGAGUAUGAGAACAUCCAGUUGAGCAGAGGAGAUUGGCUCUGCCUUAUGUCUGUUCCUCCUUCAUUUCUCUCAAGGGAAAUGGCUAAGGUGGCAUUGUCUCAUGGCUCUCGUUUUUGGGGGUCAUGGGGAAGGUAGCACCAGGCAUAGCCACUUUUGCCCUGAGGGCCUCCUGUGUGCUUCACUUCACUGAGCGCUCAUUUGGAAGUGAGGGAGACAGAAGUCUAGGCCCAGGGAUGGCUCCAGCUGGGGAUCCAGCAGGAGACCCUCUGCACAUGAGGCUGGUUUACCAACAUCUACUCCCUCAGGAUGAGCGUGAGCCAGAAGCAGCUGUGUAUAUAAGGAAACAAGCAUUCCUGGAAUUAAUUUAUAAAUUUAAUAAAUUCCACUAUAAUCCCAGCUAGUGCUUUUUCCUUAUUAUAAUUUGAUAAGGUGAUUAUAAAAGAUACAUGGAAGGAAGUGGAACCAGAUGCAGAAGAGGAAAUGAUGGAAGGACUUACAGUAUCAGAUACCAAUAUUUUAAAGUUUAUAGAAUAAUAAAGAGUAUGAUUGUGGUUCAAGGAUAAAAA